rnacentral:rRNA from 1 species
AACACUACAUUGAGGAAAUGCUUUGUAGCUGACGGUACCUUAUCAGAAAGCGAUGGCUAACUAUGUGCCAGCAGCCGCGGUAAUACAUAGGUCGCAAGCGUUAUCCGGAAUUAUUGGGCGUAAAGCGUUCGUAGGCUGUUUAUUAAGUCUGGAGUCAAAUCCCAGGGCUCAACCCUGGCUCGCUUUGGAUACUGGUAAACUAGAGUUAGAUAGAGGUAAGCGGAAUUCCAUGUGAAGCGGUGAAAUGCGUAGAUAUAUGGAAGAACACCAAAGGCGAAGGCAGCUUACUGGGUCUAUACUGACGCUGAGGGACGAAAGCGUGGGGAGCAAACAGGAUUAGAUACCCUGGUAGUCCACGCCGUAAACGAUGAUCAUUAGUCGGUGGGUUAUUCACUGACGCAGCUAACGCAUUAAAUGAUCCGCCUGAGUAGUAUGCUCGCAAGAGUGAAACUUAAAGGAAUUGACGGGGACCCGCACAGGCGGUGGAGCAUGUGGUUUAAUUUGAAGAUACACGGAGAACCUUACCCACUCUUGACAUCUUCCGCAAAGCUAUAGAGAUAUAGUGGAGGUUAACGGAAUGACAGAUGGUGCAUGGUUGUCGUCAGCUCGUGUCGUGAGAUGUUUGGUCAAGUCCUGCAACGAGCGCAACCCCUAUCUUCAGUUACUAACGAGUUAUGUCGAGGACUCUGGAGAUACUGCCUGGGUAACUGGGAGGAAGGUGGGGAUGACGUCAAAUCAUCAUGCCUCUUACGAGUGGGGCAACACACGUGCUACAAUGGUCGGUACAAAGAGAAGCAAUAUGGCGACAUGGAGCAAAUCUCAAAAAGCCGAUCUCAGUUCGGAUUGAAGUCUGCAACUCGACUUCAUGAAGUCGGAAUCGCUAGUAAUCGCAGAUCAGCUAUGCUGCGGUGAAUACGUUCUCGGGUCUUGUACACACCGCCCGUCACACCAUGGGAGCUGGUAAUACCCAAAGUCGGUUUGCUAACCUCGGAGGCGACUG